rnacentral:lncRNA from 10 species
GCGACCCGCCCCUCCCUAGGCCCGAGGACGCGCCCGCAGCAGGCGAACGGCUUCGGGUGCCAGGAGCUCAGCAAGCUGGGGACCCCCUGGGCGAGGAGUACAAAGGACCCCAGGCGAAGCCGGCGCCGGGAGGCAGAGCUGACUCCCGCGGGACUCUACCGGCCUGCGAGCGUUCGUCACGUGCUCGGUGGCUGAGGGGCCGUCCCGGCCGGGCGGGCUUCACCGCGUGGGCGCGGCAGUCGCCACUCACCGAGGUUGACGACCUUGAGCGCCGUGAAGAAGCGGUUCUGCCGGGCCAGGUCCUGCCAGGGAGCCUUGGAGCAGUGGCGUGGGUUCUCACUAUGUUGCUUAAGCUGGUCCAGAACUCAAGCCAGUCUCUCACUUCAGCCUCUUGAGUCGUUGGGAUUACAGAAGCCACCAUGUCCAACUGAAAGAGAUCAAGGGGAUUCUUGUGAGCAAGGUUCUUCCUGGUACCUGAUUGGGCAACUGGAUGAAGAAGAGGGAAAGGAAAAAGCUGCCUGAGCCCCCCAAGACAUCAGGUGCCCUCCUUAUGGUGACUGCAGAGAUCCUGGGAAGAGUCAAAGGUUAUUCAAAUCCAGACUGGACCCAAAGGGGUUCACAGAGAGGCAGGAGACCGCUUGGAAAAGCACCUAACAGGAAGCCAGAGUAGGUCCUCUGAAGGUGUUUGUUCAAUGAACUUGUCAUCCUCCUCAACUUAAAGCCUUUAGCUUUUCCAAUUUGGAGGCACAAAUAAGUGAGAACUUGGGGAUCCACUGAGGUCUGAGGCACGGUGGUACCAGAGGAGAUGAAGGGGCUUUCAGCAUGAAGCUGGUCCCCUGUCGACAGCACGCUGAUUUUCCCGUUGGGCUCUAUCAGCAUGUCCACUGUGAGACCAUGCUUGUGAAAAUACCAGGACGGUAAAUUAGUGAAUUCCAAAGUCAGGAUUUUUGUUGGAUCUGGCACAGUCACAGGAAAGUCUGAGUUUUCUCAAGGGCAUCCCUGUCUCACCGAGGGGCACCAAGGACAGACGACCAGAAGCAAAUGGCGCAGUCACCGUCAGAGGAGAGUAAAACUCAUUCUGAAACGGUUCCAAAUGCCCAUGCCUGCUCUGUGGUUUUCAGCAAAGCGGACCUUUCCAAAAGACCUCCAACAGGGACUUCCUGGAUGUGAGAACACUAACCAAUUCUCGUUCCUCUCAUCUUUUGCUUUAUUCCUUCCUUCCAUGCUGUUAUUGCGAAAAACUGGUAGUUAAAUUCAAUUGAUUCAAAAUAUUCGGGAUCCAUAUGGCCGCCAACCCUGGAGCUGAAGCGGCGAUAGCGCCUCACUGCUGUUUUCAAGCAUUUGCCUCUCCUCCAGUCCCCAGAUGGUGGGAGUAACAUUUAAACCUCCUUUUCUCUGCCUUGUACAAUAGACCUUGGCACCAUUUCAACUGUUUACUCCGGUAAUUAACAGCUCUGAUACCACAACAAUUACAACUCCUACACUCUCACCACAAUAAUGCUAUGAAUUAGUGAGAGCUAAUGGCUGGAAGGUAGAGUGUUUCCAGACUGUGGGAUCUGUGCAUUUUUAGAAUAAAAUAAAAGGUACAAACAGCACGCUUGCAGUAGACAAUGAUUACCUAGUAAUUAGUUUACACAAAGCUUCCUAUUUAAUGGCAAAACGCUGUAAUUAACGUGUGACAGAAAAUCAAAGGGUACUUUGUAAGCAUAUUAAAAAUUAACACUGCAGGCCCAUAGCUUUAUGUACUGAUUAGAAGCAUAUUAAAUCAAUAGGACACACAAACCAACAGCUUGGGUAGCUGAUUAUUAUAGGUCCUCAGAAGGGGUACCCUGGCUUUCAUUUCACUUGGGGAGGCAAUUUUCCUUCUCCUGUCAUCUUCCUCAGGCACAGAGAAACACCUCAAACUCAACCCUGGCAGCUUCAUGAAAAUAACCACUGAACUGGAAGAAAACAUUCUAAGUCAUUCUCAGAGAUGAAGACAAAUAUGUAAAUGAUUAAGACUUUCCAAUGAUUGUGGUGACGUGCUGCUACACUAAUUAGAAAAUACACCAACUGGAACCAGAAAAUAAAGCCACUGGGUUGCAAUCUUCCGGUCAGAAUAAUCUCUACUUUGUCAAGCCUCUUUAUUCAACUCAUAGAAAGUUCAAAUAAAUGGAACUGUUUUAUAUUUCUAAAUGAUAAGAAAGCAGGCUGCUAUGAAGACUUAUUCUUUCCAAGGCACUGUCUGGGUAAAGCAUAGGCUGGGAACAACUGGAUCAACCAACAUUCUGUAUCUUCAACAGCCACAACCCCAUAUAAUGAUGGCUGAUGGACAUAGACAGCAAUAUCCUGGAAGCCUACCAGAGCCUAAAGAACCUUCUGAAUCACCAAAGAAAGAUUAAGUUGUAUGUACUUGUUCAAUGUUACCUGUAUUUUGUUAUAAUACAAUUUUAUGGUAAUAAUAACAACAAUAAUAAUAGGUAGCAUUUCUUAAAGUCUUAUUAUGUGCUAAGCACACUGCUAGCCAAUUCAUAGAAUUAUCUCAUUUACUUGUCACCACUUCCCCAUGAGACAGGUACUAAUCUCUCUUUACAGAUAGAGAAAGGGAGACUUGGAGAGCUGAAGUAAUUUGCCUAUAGUUAUCCCCCAGGGAGCAUGGGAGUCUAACCUAGGUGUCCCUGGCUAUGGAACCCCAGGAAGCCAAACUACCUCUUAGUUACCCUGAAUGACUAGCCUGUUCCAACACUCAUUCUGCUUAAAAGGCAGUUUACUAUGUCAACCUGGAAUAGGAGACUAAAAAAAUUAAAACAAAAACAAAAUAUUUGGUUGCUUAUUUUUUUAAAAAACAGGGUGUUUCUGCUUUUAGAGAUAGGAGUCUUGUUCUGUCACCCAGGCUGGAGAGUGGUGGUGCAGUCAUGACUCAUUGCAGCCUCAAACUCCUGGGCUCGAGUGAUCCUCUUUCUUCAGGCUCCUAAGUAGCUGGAACUACAGGCACACACCUAAUUUUUAAAUUUUUUGUAGAGAUAGGGUCUCACUAUAUUGCCCAGGCUGGUCUUGAACUCCUGGCCUCAAGCCAACUCCCACCUCAGCCUUCCAAAGUGUUGGGAUUACAAAAUAUUACAGGAGUGAUCGACUGCACUGGGCUAAAAACAAGGGUUUUAAAUGCUUACCAUAUUUUUAAUGCUACAUCUGAUUGUGAAGGUGGGCUACUCAAAGCUUUUUGGGAAUUUACAGGCUCACUAAAAUGAUCACGAUAGUGUAUUAAAUUGAGAAAGGCAUUGAAAAUCUGUCAUUCCCAUGAACAACCAAAGGGUGAUGUCUAAAAUUCUCUCUCAUCACCCAUGCACAUAACCAGGUAUAUGAGGCAGUUGGGUUGCAAGAGCUGAAUCCUAGAAACUCCUAGGCAGGGCUCCUCCUCUCCAGCUCUGAGGUGUGUGUAUUGAUGGCCCCCUACACCUCCCAGUUUGCUGCCUUGUGGGAAAAGGAGACCAGCUCUUCUGUUAUCUAGGAAAGGGAAGAAAUUUGAGAGCAGUGGCCUCUGUGUUCCAGGAAUAUUUGCGUUUCCCACAAAUCUCUGGAAAGCAGAAAGCUUGCCACAAGGGCAGCACACGGUAUGAGUCACAAAGGCAAGGACCUGAGGGAGAACACUUCCCAGGACUUUCAAAUAAGGUCUUUCCUAAAUGUACUUGGCUCAGUGUGGCAAAAGCACUGGGCUAGCAGCAGUCAGAUGUGGGUUCAAAGCAAGGCACAAUCAUUUAUUAGCUAUAAAUUUGGGCAAGUCACUUCUUGAGAAUAAGUUUCUUCAUCUGUAAACAGAAGUAAUACCUUCCUUAUAUCUUAAAUUGGUGUGGAAGUAAAUGAGUAAAAACCUCAGGGUUUUUCUGAGUUUAAAUGAGACAAUUCAUGUAACGUGCUUAGCACAAUACCUGGUACCCAGUAGGUACUCUGCAGUAUUUAUUGAUGAUGAUGAUGAUGAUGAUGAUGAUGAUGACAAAGAAAUACAAGGAAAUGUCAACACCUUAACAGUGCAUUCAUAGAUCUACAAAAUGCUUAAUCUCAGUGUUCUGGCAACCACUAAAUACAUAAAGAUAAUCUAAGACAUCAAGAUUUCAACAUAUAAAAAUAAAUAUAAAAACAAGUGAACAAUAAUCAUUUAUAUGUAGUUUCAUGACUGGAAAAAAUAAUAACCUAGAUUUUUUCUUAACCUAGAAAAUCUAGAUUAAAAAAUAAAGAUCUUGCAUUUUUGAUAUAAAACACAAAUAAUAAGGACAUGAAAAAAGAAUAUCCCUUGCUAGUAAUCAAAUAAUAGCAAUGAGAAGCUGGAUUCUUAUAUCUAAAAUAAAAGUGCAAAUAGUUCAUAAUAUCCAUUGGUGGUAAGGUUGUGGUAAAACUAGUAUUCUUAUUCUCUGCCAGUUGCUUUGGAAAUUGGUACUAUCUUUUUAGGAAUAUGGCAAUAUGUAACAAAAGCCAUAAAAUAUUCUACUCCUGGGUCUUUCUCCUCGGGAAGUAACUCAACAGAAGCAAAAAGAGGUGUAUACAAAAACCAAAUAUAAAAACAAACAAAUCUUUCCUCCCUCUUUCCUCCCACUGCCAAAAAAUGAAAGCUGGGAAUAGCCUAAAUUUCCAACUUAGUUGAAUUGUUCAAUAUAUUAGAGUUCAUCAAUAUGAGAGAAUAUUAUGCAUCUAAUAAUUGUGACGACUAUGUAUAAACAUGGAAAAUAUUUAAGAUCUGAUGUUUAACUAGCAUAUACACUAUUAUUGUAGCUAUGAGAAAGAAAUACUGCAUAUUUAGAAAUUAAUAUACAAAAAUGAAAACAACUAUGUUUGGGGACAGUGAUUAUGUACUUUUAAAUUUUUUUUAAUCUUGUUAUCUUUAAACUUUUCUAAAAAUGAUGUGAUUACAAGCAAUGGCUCUUUGGGAUCACCUAAUAAAUACCUACUAAAUUCUAGACGGGACAACGAGCUCUGCCAUCCUGCAAUGGCUCCUGUGACCUAGUUCCAGGGCCAUUCUGAAUGGACAGAGGUCUUCACAAUGGAGGUGGAGAUGCAGGGAGCUCUAUGGCAUGAAAUGGUUAAUGAUUCUCUUUUGUAAUUGUGUUUUCUGUUUGCUGCCUUAGUUCUAAAAGGAGGCAAAACAACUGUGGUUUAUUCUACCUUUUCCAGGCAUAGUUCUUCUCCUACCUUUGUGAUCCCCAAAUUAAUAUCAAAUGUCUAAUUAGUUUUUUUCUCCAUUGGUGAUCCCCAAAUUAAUAUCAAAUGUCAGACAAAGUAAAUCAAAGUACAAAUAAAGGUAAAACUGCUCUUGCAAAGGGCUAAAAUAGCAAUGUUUACUAGAAGCAUUCAAGAGCCAGUUCAAUUUCCUAUUUCUCAUUAAGUGGUAAAAUAGUAAUGCCAAGACCACAUCCCAGAAUCUCCAGGGUAACAGAGGCCCAACGAAGGGCUGCAGAGAAACUUGAAAGUAAACUGGCUUAGUUCUUUACACACAGAAAUUGUUCUACAAAGAUCUCUUGCAAAGCAGUGUCACCAGUAGCAUCACUGCCACUAAGCCAAUGUCCCAGGAAUUGAGGAAAGGAAGACACCCUUAAAGAAAAAAAUGGAAAAAAGCCACAAGGACUGGUACCACAGUAAAUGUCUGCCUGGGUCUCCCUAAACUGUCUUAGGUGAGCUUACCCAGGAAUGUUUCUCCCCUACAUGUUUGCCUUCCUUUGUUUAAGCCUUUAUUCCUCCUAAAUGAAAAUAAAUACCCCCGACUGGGGAACGUGGA